UGGGGAAUUUUGGACAAUGGGCGCAAGCCUGAUCCAGCCAUGCCGCGUGAGUGAAGAAGGCCUUCGGGUUGUAAAGCUCUUUCGGACGGGAAGAAAUGGCGGGCUCUAACAUAGCCUGUCGAUGACGGUACCGUAAGAAGAAGCACCGGCUAACUUCGUGCCAGCAGCCGCGGUAAUACGAAGGAUGCAAGCGUUAUCCGGAAUUAUUGGGUUUAAAGGGUGCGUAGGCGGACUAAUAAGUCAGUGGUGAAAGCCUGCAGCUUAACUGCAGAAUUGCCAUUGAUACUGUUAGUCUUGAGUACAGUUGAGGUAGGCGGAAUGUGUCAUGUAGCGGUGAAAUGCUUAGAUAUGACACAGAACACCGAUUGCGAAGGCAGCUUGCUAAGCUGUAACUGACGCUGAGGCACGAAAGCGUGGGGAGCAAACA
rnacentral:rRNA from 1 species